UGGGGAAUAUUGGACAAUGGGGGCAACCCUGAUCCAGCAAUGCCGCGUGUGUGAAGAAGGCCUUCGGGUUGUAAAGCACUUUAGGUUGGGAAGAAGGUAUGUAGUUUAAGAGAUGACAUAUUUGACUGUACCAACAGAAUAAGCACCGGCUAACUCUGUGCCAGCAGCCGCGGUAAUACAGAGGGUGCAAGCGUUAAUCGGAGUUACUGGGCGUAAAGGGCGCGUAGGCGGAUACUUAAGUUGGAUGUGAAAGCCCUGGGCUUAACCUAGGAAUUGCAUACAAAACUGGGUAUCUGGAGUAUUGUAGAGGAUAGUGGAAUUUCCGGUGUAGCGGUGAAAUGCGUAGAGAUCGGAAGGAACACCAGUGGCGAAGGCGACUGUCUGGACAAAUACUGACGCU
rnacentral:rRNA from 1 species